rnacentral:lncRNA from 1 species
AAUUCCUGUUGGUAAACUCAUAUAUAUGAUCUUUAUCCAAUUAUAAAAGAGUAAUAGUUUGUAGUUUUUUUAAGAACAUCACGUGGUGUAUUAUUUAAGUCUUCCAUUUUGGGCACUGAUUAUAAGCUGGCUAGUUAAAUAAAUAUAAUCUGGAGGAGGAGAAGCUCCAAUCACCCAACCUAUUGCGUUAAAAAACAUCAUUUUCAUGAUAAAUUCAUGUUUGUAAACUCAUUUUAUCCAAUUAUAAAAGGGUAAUAGUUUGUAUCACGAUUCUUAAAAGUCUUGGAUAUGAUGAAGAAGAGGAUCAGAAGAAAGUGAAUUUUAUUUCUGAGCAACUAAAAUGAUUAAUAAGUCCAAUGAAAGGGAGACGUUACUCAAUGAAGUUGCUUGCUAUGUGCAUGCUGUGGGAAACAUGUAGUCCUUCUCUUUAUACAAACAUUGUAAAAGAGGCUUGCCUUUGUUCACCUAGUGUUUCGCAUUUGUGAAAAUUAUCUGGGGCCUUGAAUUUAAAUACCUUUCUACCAAUUUAUAUCUCAAGACGAGCUUUAAUUCAAUUUCUCCUGAAAGUAGAAAAGUGUCUUUAAUAUUCGACGAAAUGUAUUCUUCACAAAGGAUUGAGUUUGUUGGAGGAAAAUUUUAUGGAUCUAAUGAUUAUCACAUCCAUAAGAACGGUGCUAUGUUUUAUGAUUAAAAGUAUAGCAACUAAAUAUAAUGAUAUUGUUGCCAUGGUUCCAAUUGUUACAAUUAUUAAAGAAUGGGCUAUGUCUGCAAUUAAAUUAGUAACGGGAAUUGGAUUCGAUAUAUAGUCACACUAGUUUGUGAUGGCCAUAAUCGAAAAUUCUAUCAAGAAUUAUGCGAAGGGCAAUUUAAGACGUCUAUAGAAAACCCGUAUUCAAUUGGAAAUCGAAUAUUUUUAUUAUAUUACACCGUGCAUCUUUUUUUCAAAAUUUCUACAAUAAUUUCAUAAACAAAGUGUUAUUUAUAUUCCCGUCAUUUAGAGAAAAUAUGUCUCAAGAAGAAGAAUUUUGUACGGCAAAUCUCAAGCACCUAUUUGAACUUUUUGAGAAGGAACAAGGUUUACCUUUAAAGUUUGCACAUCAACUGAACAAUAAUGUUUUGGCUCCGAAAUUUAUAGUAAAAUUAAAUUUAGCAGAACUCUUCUUCAGUCCAUCUACUAUAUCUGGCCAUCGGCAAUAUCUUAAUGAACAUUCCCGUUGGAAACAAACUACGACAUUUCUUGAAAUAAUAAAUAAGUUUUGGUGCGUGACAUCGAUUAAACAUCCAAAAUUGGGAUUUUUAGAACGACGAGAAGAAAGAAACCAAUUUCUCAAAACUGCUAAAUUUAUUUAGACUUCUUGCGUAAUUUUUUAAGUUAAUUGUUAUCUUGGAAAGUGUCAACUAUAUGUUUCAAGGCUAGACUUCUAAAACUUUUUCAAUAAGAAUUCAAACUACUUUUGCUCUCAUUGAAAUUACUGAAUAUUUAUUAAAUAAAUGAAGUACAUUUGUCUUGGAAAUAUAACGUCCAAUCCCAUAGAGCGGCAUUUUGGACAAUAUA